GACGAACGCUGGCGGUGUGCUUAACACAUGCAAGUCGAACGGCAAGGCCCUGCUUUUGUGGGCUGCUCGAGUGGCGAACGGGUGCGUAACACGUGAGUAACCUGCCCUUGACUUUGGGAUAACUUCAGGAAGCUGGGGUUAAUCCCGGAUAGGAGCUCCUGUUGCAUUGUGGGGGUUGGAUCGUUUCGGCGGUUGGGGAUGGAUUCGCGGCUUAUCAGUUUGUUGGUGGGGUAGUGGCUUACCAAGGCUUUGACGGGUAGCCGGCCUGAGAGGGUGACCGGCCACAUUGGGACUGAGAUACGGCCCAGACGCCUACGGGAGGCAGCAGUGGGGAAUAGUGCACAAUGGGCGGAAGCCUGAGGCAGCAACGCCGCGGGCGGGAUGACGGCCUUCGGGUUGUAAACCGCUUUCGCCUGUGACGAAGCGUGAGUGACGGUAAUGGGUAAAGAAGCACCGGCUAACUACGUG
rnacentral:rRNA from 1 species